rnacentral:rRNA from 1 species
UACGUAGGGCGCAAGCGUUGUCCGGAAUUAUUGGGCGUAAAGAGCUCGUAGGCGGUCUGUCGCGUCUGCUGUGAAAACUCAGGGCUUAACCCUGAGCUUGCAGUGGGUACGGGCAGACUAGAGUGCGGUAGGGGAGACUGGAAUUCCUGGUGUAGCGGUGAAAUGCGCAGAUAUCAGGAGGAACACCGAUGGCGAAGGCAGGUCUCUGGGCAUUAACUGACGCUGAGGUGCGAAAGCGUGGGGAGCAAACAGG